GCCAGACUCCUACGGGAGGCAGCAGUGGGGAAUAUUGCACAAUGGGCGCAAGCCUGAUGCAGCGACGCCGCGUGAGCGAAGAAGUAUUUCGGUAUGUAAAGCUCUAUCAGCAGGGAAGAAAAUGACGGUACCUGACUAAGAAGCUCCGGCUAAAUACGUGCCAGCAGCCGCGGUAAUACGUAUGGAGCAAGCGUUAUCCGGAAUUACUGGGUGUAAAGGGAGCGUAGACGGAUGUGCAAGUCUGAUGUGAAAGGCGGGGGCUCAACCCCUGGACUGCAUUGGAAACUGUAAAUCUUGAGUGCCGGAGAGGUAAGCGGAAUUCCUAGUGUAGCGGUGAAAUGCGUAGAUACCACGCAGAACUCCGAUUGCGAAGGCAGCAUACCGGCGCGCAACUGACGCUCAUGCACGAAAGCGUGGGUAUCGAACAGGAUUAGAUACCCGGGUA
rnacentral:rRNA from 1 species